rnacentral:lncRNA from 1 species
GGCAGAGCUCUUCCACUGGGCCCUGAAGGCAGCUGGACUCCCUCUCCAGCCAACUUGGCUGUGAGCAUAGAACCCCCACAAAUUCUGCUUGACCCAACACCUCUUCUGAGCCCACUUUCUCCAGGGGUGGGUAGAAAUAUCUCAGAAUGUUAAAACUUCUCAGUCCGCAAGCCAUGUUAUCAUCUGGAUUUCAACAAAGAAAAGUGACUCCAGCAUGCAGAGUGGGAUCAACUUGCUCUACCAACUCUGGAUCUUCUGUCAUCUGGAAAUGACGGGGAUCUUGUACUCACGGGCAAUGCCUGCCUACUAUUAUCUUUGGAAUCAGCAUGUGAGGCCCCCUACAGUGCCUCAUCCAUCUGACUCAUGCCGAAGAUGGUCCAGGCGUCACCUGAGCUAUGCUACCUUUGGUAAAGACCCAUGCAGGCUUCUCUUUGCCCUGGAGUCACACUUUCUCCCCUAUUGACACCCCAGCCAGGAUCACACCAAUACCUCCAACAUCAAUCAGAAGUCAACAAGAAUGGAAAACAGACUAAAGUAACUUCUAUGGACAGGGCUGGGUCUAUUCUUACCUUCUGCAAAUGGUUCCCACUCAUAAAACCGGCCCAUGAAUGGCUUGUUGUUGUAGGAUGCACACUGUACCUCCCGGAUACUUCUACUGCUUUCUGG